CUCGGUAGUCGGUUACUGCUACCUAGCAGAUUCUAGCUGUUCAGCGAUACAGGCCAACUUGAACUGAGAUACGGACCAGUUUCCUACGUGUAGCAGCAGGUGGGUAUAUUGCACUAUGGGCGGCAGCUGUAUGCAGCAUGCAGCGGUGUUAUGAGAAGUCUCGGGUGUUAAAGUACUUUCAGCAGGGAGGAAGAGUUUAGCCUGAAGAGGGCUGACUUUGACGUUACCCGCAGAAGAAGCACUGGCUACUACGUGCAGCAGCCGCGGUAAUACGAGGGGUGCAAGCGUUAAUCGGAAUGACUGGGCGUAAAGCGCACGCAGGCGGUCCAUUAAGUUAGAUGUGAAAUCUCGGGCUCAACCUGGGAAUGGCAUCUAAGACUGGUUGACUGGAGUCUCGUAGAGGGGGGUAGAAUUCCAUGUGUAGCGGUGAAAUGCGUAGAGAUGUGGAGGAAUACCGGUGGCGAAGGCGGCCCCCUGGACGAAGACUGACGCUCAGGUGCGAAAGCGUGGGGAGCAAACAGGAUUAGAUACCCUGGUAGUCCACGCUGUAAACGAUGUCGAUUUGGAGGUUGCGGUCUUGAACGGUGGCUUCCGAAGCUAACGCGUUAAAUCGACCGCCUGGGGAGUACGGCCGCAAGGUUAAAACUCAAAUGAAUUGACGGGGGCCCGCACAAGCGGUGGAGCAUGUGGUUUAAUUCGAUGCAACGCGAAGAACCUUACCUACUCUUGACAUCCUCAGAAUUUGCUGGAGACAGCGAAGUGCCUUAGGGAACUGAGAGACAGGUGCUGCAUGGCUGUCGUCAGCUCGUGUUGUGAAAUGUUGGGUUAAGUCCCGCAACGAGCGCAACCCUUAUCCUUUGUUGCCAGCACGU
rnacentral:rRNA from 1 species